rnacentral:lncRNA from 1 species
CGGGAGGCACCGUGUGGUGGCUGUGCCAGGGCCCGGCGCGGCUCUGCAGGCCCCCAGAGCUCCUCGCAAUGCAGCUCCGUCCUGCAGAGCGGAGCCCGCGGUAUCCUCCUUGUCCUCGGCUGUCUCCCCUCGGUGGUGCGUGCCGUGAGUCACGAGGAGCCUGGUGCCGCUCCAAACGCGUGUCAGCCCCGGCCUAGUGAGAGGUUCAUAGCAGGCACAGGCAAAUGGGUGGAGUUGGUAGCUGUCUGAAGUAGCCAAGAUCUUCAGUUGAUAUCGUUAAUUAUCAUGUGAUGGUGCCAAAGUUUGCGAGGCUCCGUGCAGCACAGAACAAAAUGACAUAUUCCCUGCCCCAAGGAGUUUACAAUCUAAAGUGGAUCUGACAACACGAGGGUGUGACAGGACACCACGAGGCUGCAGCAACAGGAUCAUGCUGUUGAGGUCUCAACUUACUCCAGCACUACAGAUGAGAGAAAGCGACAGCUCCAGAGGCCUCUUGGGAUGGCAGGAUGGAUCUGACAAAGCAAGGUGUGACAGAAUGCCACAAGGUUGCAGCAACAGAAUCCUAGGAUCCAGUGACCAGAUAAAGAAUUGAAAUUGGUUUGCAGCUGAAGUGGUUUGAAGUAGGCGCUUGGCCAGUACAUAUCUCAGCCCUUUGCUUCUGAACAUAACGAACAAAAUCAGAAACCCCUGAACUGAACUCAGAUAACAUUCCAUCCUGCCGCAGUGGCAGAUAAAAAUGUGUGAGUUCGGAGUUUCCUGGCUCCAUAAUGAACAGCAAAAACUUGAAGUUUAAAUUCUUUAAGCUCUCCAAGGAUGAAGCAUGUGGAUGGAAUAAGACGGAACGGAAGAAAUAGACUCUUGUUUUAAUGGAAUUUCAAAGAAGUGGAGUAGAGGCUUCAAACAAUUCCAGAGGGCUAUGCCUUCCCUGCCAUUAUGGAAUGCUACCGGGAACACCCAGGAGAACAGCAUGAUUCCCAGGUCCACACGUAUCUUAUACACUUUGAUAUCUUGCAGGCAACAGGAACUUUGCAUAAGCACCUGCCAGUGUAAUUACAAUGUACUAAGGUGAGCUCAGGCAUCGGCUGUGCCACAUCCAUGUGAGACCAGUAUGUUGCCAUACUCUAGGCUGUGAUUCUGAUCAGAUGUCCAGACAGGGUAUGUGGGCUGCAGGAUGUCCUAGAAAUGCCCUUCACACCGUGGUGUAGCUGUAUCCUUUUGAUCUUUCUUAUAUUUCUAUGCACCUAGGUUGUAUUUGCUAACCUCAGGCAAGAUUCUGGCCUCAAAAACUUACGUAUCAUUUUCUCUGCAGUCAAAAGGAGUUCAGACAAAUAUACUGGGAGAGAAUUUAAAAAUAAGUGUUCAUUUCAUAAAGCUAACUUCCUGGCACAUAUUUGAAUUCUGGCUGAUAAUUGUAGCAUUUAUUUUGAUACUCUGCUGCUUCUAAGUCUGUGCACUCUGAUGAAGUCCUGACCACUUUAUAAAAAGCAAAGGGUGAGAUUAACAUUGCCAGUGGGAGGGUGUGAGCCACAGCCAUUUGAAAAAAAACUACCUGGCUCUUUUUAGCUAUGCUGCCUACUGAGAGCUGAUUACUAGGAAAGAGAGAGGUGGGAAUUGGCCACUUCUGUUAUGAGUGUCAAGGUUGUUGGAAGACUCGAGUAACAAGAGGUGCUGAAAAGUAUGGCAACCAAAUCCCCAUCUCCUGACACUAAGCUUGUCACUUCUGUGACAUUCUUGGCCUCUUCUAACCCAGUGUCUGGGAAUUUGAGACUUAAUCUUUGGUCAACCACAUGUUGGUGCAGAAUAUAGCUGCUGCAAAAUGAGACCAACCUACAAAUGGGGAAAAGAUCUAUUUUUAAAUGAAAAAUCCCAGCCUCCUCAUUCUUCCUUAGCACAGGCUUUUUUAGAACCAAAUUUCAGUUUUGUACUAACCACUUAAUACAGCCAUGGGCUGUGUCUUUCACUCCAGACAGGCAGGAAUGUUUGGUGUGUGUCCUGAUGGCUUGCAUGCCUCUGCUGAGAGCAUCUACUCAUCGUACACCAAGAUCCAGUUCAUAUUCUCAUUCUUAGCGUCAAGAAAAUUGUCUUUGCUUUAAAUAAUAGAUCAUACAGUAGUUUAAAUAUUAUCAUGGCAAUUGACACUUCAGCAGAGUAAGCAUGACUUUCAAAUUUGGUUAUUUAGUUUCAUAAGACCAUACUUCAGGGCCUGAAUAGGUGGUGAAUUCCUGGUAGCCCUGUAGUUCAUAUCAACUUCAUGUUUGUUCUGUGCUGCUGACAACUUAGACGUGGUGGAGGUCCCAAACACUCGCACAUUUGCCACUCAUCAUCUCUGCAGUUUCUGAUGGGACCACGUUCAGGGCAAUAGAAAUGCAUUAUUUCCACAGGCCGCUAAGAUCCCUUUGCUCGUGGGUGUCUGUACUGCUCUAAUUUACCUACUUUUCCUCAGUAAUGUUACUGGAUGCGAGGAUAUGAGGAGGUAGCUGUGCCAACGUAACAGUAGCUUUGCAUGCCAUAAUACCUGAUGCAUUUGUGGUGUUGCUUGGUAACAGGGCUGCAGACUUUGUAUUGUAUUGUAUUGUAUUUUAUUGUUAAUAAAGUUUAUCAUAACCUCA